rnacentral:rRNA from 1 species
AUGGCUCAGGAUGAACGCUGGCGGCGUGCCUAACACAUGCAAGUCGAGCGGAGAUACAUGUCUAAGAGAUUCGGUCGAAUUAAUUGUAUCUAGCGGCGGAUGGGUGAGGAACGCGUGGAGAACCUGCCCUUCACAGGGGGAUAACAGCUGGAAACGGCUGUUAAUACCGCAUAUGCUCACAGGAUCGCAUGGUCCAGGGAGGAAAGCCGAGACGGUGAAGGAUGGCUCCGCGUCGGAUUAGCCAGUUGGCGGGGUAACGGCCCACCAAAGCGAUGAUCCGUAGCCGGCCUGAGAGGGCGACCGGCCACAUUGGGACUGAGAUACGGCCCAGACUCCUACGGGAGGCAGCAGUAAGGAAUAUUGGGCAAUGGGGGCAACCCUGACCCAGCAAUGCCGCGUGAAGGAAGAAGGUUUUCGGAUUGUAAACUUCUUUUAUAUAGGACGAAUGGAUGACGGUACUAUAUGAAUAAGCCCCGGCUAACUACGUGCCAGCCGCGGC